GACGAACGCUGGCGGCAGGCUUAACACAUGCAAGUCGAGCGCCCAGCGAGGGGAGCGGCAGACGGGUGAGUAACGAGUGGGAACGUACCCUUUGCUACGGAAUAGCUCCGGGAAACUGGAAUUAAUACCGUAUGUGCCCUACGGGGGAAAGAUUUAUCGGCAAAGGAUCGGCCCGCGUUGGAUUAGCUAGUUGGUGGGGUAAUGGCCUACCAAGGCUACGAUCAAUAGCUGGUCUGAGAGGAUGAUCAGCCACAUUGGGACUGGGACACUGCCCAAACUCGUACGGGAGGCAGCAGUGGGGAAGAUGGGACAAUGGGCGCAAGCCUGAUCCAGCCAUGCCGCGUGAGUGAUGAAGGCCUUAGGGUUGUAAAGCUCUUUCGCUGGGGAAAAUAAUGACGGUACCCAGAGAAGAAGCCCCGGCUAACUUCGUGCCAGCAGCCGCCGUAACAC
rnacentral:rRNA from 1 species